AGAGUUUGAUCAUGGCUCAGGAUUAACGCUGGCGGUGUGCUUUAUGCAUGCAAGUCGAACGGGCAUUAGCAAUAAUGUCAGUGGCGAACGGGUGAGUAACACGUAAGUAACCUGCCCUCAAGUGGGGAACAACUCUGAGAAAUCGGAGCUAAUACCGCAUGUGGUGGUGGGGGUAAGGCCCCAUUACUAAAGCCGCAAGGCGCUUGAGGAGGGGCUUGCGUCCGAUUAGCUUGUUGGUGAGGUAACGGCCCACCAAGGCGACGAUCGGUAGCUGGUCUGAGAGGGCGACCAGCCACACGGGGACUGAGACACGGCCCCGACUCCUACGGGAGGCAGCAGCAAGGAAUAUUGGGCAAUGGGCGAAAGCCUGACCCAGCGACACCGCGUGGAGGAAGAAGGCCUUCGGGUUGUAAACUCCUUUUCCCAGGGAAGAAUAAUGACGGUACCUGGGGAAUAAGUCUCGGCCAACUACGUGCCAGCAGCCGCGGUAAUACGUAGGAGGCAAGCGUUAUCCGGAUUCACUGGGCGUAAAGCGGGUGUAGGCGGCCUGUCAAGUCAGAUGUGAAAUCUCCCCGGCUAAACUGGGAGGGUGCAUUCGAAACUGAUGGGCUAGAGUGCAGCAGAGGAAAGCGGAAUUCCCGGUGUAGUGGUGAAAUGCGUAGAUAUCGGGAAGAACACUAGUGGCGAAGGCGGCUUUCUGGGCUGUUACUGACGCUGAGAUCCGAAGGCGUGGGGAGCAAACAGGAUUAGAUACCCUAGUAGUCC
rnacentral:rRNA from 1 species